rnacentral:rRNA from 1 species
GACGAACGCUGGCGGCGUGCUUAACACAUGCAAGUCGAGCGGUAAGGCCCUUUCGGGGUACGACGAGCGGCGAACGGGUGAGUAACACGUGGGUGACCUGCCCUCAGCUCUGGGAUAAGCCUGGGAAACCGGGUCUAAUACUGGAUAUGACUCCAUGACGCAUGUUGUGGGGUGGAAAGCCUUGUGCGGCUGAGGAUGGGCCCGCGGCCUAUCAGCUUGUUGGUGGGGUGAUGGCCUACCAAGGCGACGACGGGUAGCCGGCCUGAGAGGGCGACCGGCCACACUGGGACUGAGACACGGCCCAGACUCCUACGGGAGGCAGCAGUGGGGAAUCUUGCGCAAUGGGCGAAAGCCUGACGCAGCGACGCCGCGUGAGGGAUGAC